CCUACGGGAGGCAGCAGUGAGGAAUAUUGGUCAAUGGUCGAGAGUCUGAACCAGCCAAGUAGCGUGAAGGAUGACUGCCCUAUGGGUUGUAAACUUCUUUUAUAUGGGAAUAAAACGUUCCACGUGUGGGAUUUUGUAUGUACCAUAUGAAUAAGGAUCGGCUAACUCCGUGCCAGCAGCCGCGGUAAUACGGAGGGUCCGAGCGUUAUCCGGAUUUAUUGGGUUUAAAGGGAGCGUAGGUGGAUUGUUAAGUCAGUUGUGAAAGUUUGCGGCUCAACCGUAAAAUUGCAGUUGAAACUGGCAGUCUUGAGUACGGUAGAGGUGGGCGGAAUUCGUGGUGUAGCGGUGAAAUGCUUAGAUAUCACGAAGAACUCCGAUUGCGAAGGCAGCUCACUGGACUGCAACUGACACUGAGGCUCGAAAGCGUGGGUAUCGAACAGGAUUAGAUACCCGAGUAGUC
rnacentral:rRNA from 1 species